rfam:Poecilia formosa, whole genome shotgun sequence.
CUGGGUUACGGUGAUAUGUACCCGGAGACGUGGUCGGGAAUGCUGGUGGGAGCGCUCUGUGCCUUGGCUGGUGUGCUGACCAUUGCUAUGCCUGUACCUGUCAUUGUCAACAAC